GACGGGGGGAGCAAGCGUUGUUCGGAAUUACUGGGUGUAAAGGGCGUCUAGGCGGGCUUGUAAGUCAGGUGUGAAAUCCUCCGGCUCAACCGGAGAACUGCAUUUGAUACUGCAAGUCUUGAGUUCGGAAGAGGAAAGCGGAAUUCCUGGUGUAGCGGUGAAAUGCGUAGAUAUCAGGAAGAACACCAGUGGCGAAGGCGGCUUUCUGGUCCGAUACUAACGCUGAAGCGCGAAAGUGUGGGGAGCAAACAGGAUUAGAUACCCCUGUA
rnacentral:rRNA from 1 species